CGCACGACUCCACCACCUUCUUGACAGUGCAAGAGCUCGAAGAGAUCGAUCAACUUCUAUUGAGAUUGAGAGACAGAGUCAUUGGGCAUUUGGGAGGAAAGCACCCGUAUGCUUCUCUCUCUCUCUCUCUCUCUCUCUCUCUCUCUCUGUGAUGGCGAUACCAUGGCCGCUCACCUUCUUCAGCUCCACUCGCCCUCUCUUCACAGCCAGACCAUCCGUACGAUCGCAUCUCCUUACCCGUCAUCACCUUCCAACCAUCUCAGCAACAACCUCCCUUUCCACUUCCCAACCUUCACUCCCCAACAAAUCCCAUCCCUUCAUCACCACUCCCACAAAACCCCACCACCGACGGCUGAAAAUCACAGCCGCCCACUUCAACUUCUCAUUCCUACCGCUCAUCUCUCCUCACGAAUCACGAUCAUUGGGGAAUAUGGACCUCGCUCUUCACAGCUGGUGCAUUCGGCCUCUGGUACUACUUCCCACUCAUCGAUCCUGCCUUGAUUCAUUUCUCCUUUCCUCUUUUUAUUUUGAGAUUUUGAUUCAAAGAUGUCUGUUUUGAAAUGGGAUCGGAAUGCCGGAGAAGACGAGAGUGCAGAGCGCGCUGAGCGGCGCCCUGGUCAGCACUCUGGUGGCGCUCGCCACAACCAACCUCAGCAUCAUUGCUAGUGAGGUCCCGGUGUAUUAUGUUGUCUUGGAGUAUCUGCUGCCCGUCGCCGUUCAUUUGCUGCUCUUCAGAGCAGAUCUGCCUCACAUCCUGCAGUCCACCGGUGCUGCUUUUGGCUUUCUUGUUUGGAUUAGGUUAUGGGGGACUUGUUGGAUCAUCUAACUAGCUGGGAUGUUGGAACAUAAUCUAUUAUUGCAGUUUAAUAUAGACCACUGUAUUUGGAAAAGUUGCACCAGCCGUCUAUCUAGACCAGUGUAUUUGGAUGUAAGCUAUUGCAGAUUGCAAUUUGUUAUUGAUUGUGCUUAAAAGAUGAACUUCAUUUCUCUGGCCUACUGAUCACAGUGCUACGAAGGGAAACAACUUUUUGAAUUUGAUUGGGCUCACAUGAUAUGAUCUUGCCUUGUAUUGUUGUGGACGAUUCGCAAAGAACAACACUUCACAAUUGCCUGAUGCAAAGAUGAAGAAAUUUACAGAAGAUGCUAUCAAAUUCAAAAUGGAUGACAGUAUGUGGAUUCAUAAUUUUCACACUAUCCUUUGCGUUUAUGUUUUAAUUGAAAUGAGCAUAAAGUUUGAAGUUUACUGUUUUUUCUUUGGUUUUUCUAUGAAUGAAGCAUACCUUCAAUGUCAUGAUAUUUCCUUUCCUGGCUUUUUGCAGCUGCUGAACUGUAUGACUUUGAUGAUGAGAAGAUUAUGCAGAUUUGUUGUCCAUUCACAGAACCGAUCUGAUGAUAGCAACUUCAGAACAGUUGGAUUUAAGAUGGAUGGAUGGGAUGAAAGUUGGAUCAAGUUGGUUGGGAGAAGCAUUUUUGGUUUUGCUGCAGCAGCUACCACUGUGAUUGCCAUCAGCUGCGAUUCCUUGGGCCUCGUGGAGUCUCUCAUCACCGCUUUCCCUGCUUCUCGUGGAGAGCUUGAUCGGCCUUGUGAAUAGGAUUGAGAGGGCCUAUAUGGUCCUCGGCGACUACGGUGGCAACAACUCCUUGCUAACUCUUUGGGAAGCCCUUCCGUUCAUCGCUGUCGUCAGUGGACAGAAUUCUGCAAAAUCAUCGAUUUUGGAGAGCAUCGUCAGGUGGGAUUUUCUUCUUAGGGGAUCUGCUGCACAAGACAGACAAAGGACAGAUGGAGUAUGUUGGGUUUCUUCACUCGCCAAAGAGGAGAUUUUCAGGUUUAGGUAAAUCUUGUUUUUCUAUUGCUUCGUAGAUUCGAUGUUUGAUUUAUGGGUCUUUUUUGCCCCGAAAUCUCCCCUACAUUGUCGCUGCUUCUUGAUUUUAUUUUCAUCUUGAAUUCUCUCAAUUCUAACUCGACGAGUACAUGCAUACAGCAACAAACAUCUUCAAGUAGGUAGAGGAACUGCAAAGGCGAAGUAAUUACUCUCUACUGCCAUUGAUCCGAAAUGUUUUUUUAAUGAAAUAAGGAAACUUUGAAGAACAUAUUGGAAAUUGGAUAUCCAAGAGAUGACACUGGAUAUGAAAAUUCACCUCAAUCAGAGUAUAUUGACCUCCCCUAGUACAGGUGAGCAACCUGUGUGUUUGCAGCAACCAUUACUCACCAACAGCUUUGAUUCUGUUCACUCAUCAUUACCUCCUAGCUUUGCCACACUACUGACAAGCUGUUCAACAGAAAAUUUGAAAGGUUAUGAUAUGCAAACAAGAAGUGUUGUAGUCCUGGCAUAUUGUUGUGUAGAUUUUCUUUUGUACAUUGUUCAAAAAGCUUGUGGCCUGACUGAAAGCCUGGUUGAGUUGACCUGUUCAAAAAGGUGGCAAAACAUUCCAAGUUGAUGAUUUACUUGGAGUAUUAGUAGUUUCAACCCAGCAAGUUUCUGGCUUGUUGAAAACGAAGUGAAACUUUCAAUUUCUUCUGGGAAUUGCUAGCAUUUUGUUUGGUAUCAUCUUUUUGUUGAUUCCGUUAACUCCUUUACUGCUUCCAACACAAGGAAAACCCAAUUGAAAUUGGUGAACUUUUGGCUUGUAUUAUUGGUUUCUGCUAGCUUGUAAUUGAAAGGUUCCCUUCAUGGUUACACUUGUAAUCUGUUUUCUCUUUCUGUACCAAUUUCUUCUGACCGAGGUUUACGAAUG